UGGGGAAUAUUGCACAAUGGGCGCAAGCCUGAUGCAGCCAUGCCGCGUGUGUGAAGAAGGCCUUCGGGUUGUAAAGCACUUUCAGCGGGGUGGAAGGCGAUAAGGUUAAUAACCUUGUCGAUUGACGUUACCCGCAGAAGAAGCACCGGCUAACUCCGUGCCAGCAGCCGCGGUAAUACGGAGGGUGCAAGCGUUAAUCGGAAUUACUGGGCGUAAAGCGCACGCAGGCGGUCUGUCAAGUCGGAUGUGAAAUCCCCGGGCUUAACCUGGGAACGGCAUUCGAAACUGGCAGGCUAGAGUCUUGUAGAGGGGGGUAGAAUUCCAGGUGUAGCGGUGAAAUGCGUAGAGAUCUGGAGGAAUACCGGUGGCGAAGGCGGCCCCCUGGACGAAGACUGACGCUCAGGUGCGAAAGCGUGGGGAGCAAACAGG
rnacentral:rRNA from 1 species